UACGUAGGGGGCAAGCGUUGUCCGGAUUUAUUGGGCGUAAAAGGCUUGUAGGUGGCCACGCCAAGUCGGAUGUGAAAUCUCCCGGCUCAACUGGGAGGGGUCAUUCGAUACUGGCGGGCUCGAGGCCGGUAGGGGGAAGUGGAAUUCCCGGUGUAGUGGUGGAAUGCGUAGAUAUCGGGAGGAACACCAGUGGCGAAGGCGGCCCCCUGGACCGGUACUGACGCUGAGGCGCGAAAGCGUGGGUAGCAAACGGG
rnacentral:rRNA from 1 species